rnacentral:rRNA from 1 species
UACGGAGGGUGCAAGCGUUGCUCGGAAUUACUGGGCGUAAAGCGUGUGUAGGCGGCCUUGUAAGUCGGGUGUGAAAUCCCUAGGCUCAACCUAGGAACUGCGUCCGAAACUGCGAGGCUUGAGUGCCGGAGAGGGUGGUAGAAUUCCCGGUGUAGAGGUGAAAUUCGUAGAUAUCGGGAGGAAUACCGGUGGCGAAGGCGGCUACCUGGACGAGCACUGACGCUGAGACACGAAAGCGUGGGGAGCAAACAGG